rnacentral:rRNA from 1 species
GACAGAGGGUGCAAACGUUGCUCGGAAUUACUGGGCGUAAAGCGCGUGUAGGCGGACCACCAAGUCGGACGUGAAAGCCCUGAGCUCAACUCAGGAACUGCAUUCGAUACUGCCGUGCUUGAGGACUGGAGAGGAGACUGGAAUUUACGGUGUAGCGGUGAAAUGCGUAGAUAUCGUAAGGAAGACCAGUGGCGAAGGCGGGUCUCUGGACAGUUCCUGACGCUGAGGCACGAAGGUCAGGGGAGCAAACGGG